rnacentral:rRNA from 1 species
CCUACGGGAGGCAGCAGUGGGGAAUAUUGCACAAUGGGCGAAACCCUGAUGCAGCGACGCCGCGUGAGUGAUGAAGUACUUCGUUAUGUAAAGCUCUAUCAGCAGGGAAGAAAAUGACGGUACCUGAGCAUGAAGCCCCGGCUAACUACGGGCCAGCAGCCGCGGUAAUACGUAGGGGGCAAGCGUUAUCCGGAUUGACUGGGGGUAAAGGGAUCGUAGACGGCAGUGCAUGUCUGGAGGGAAAGGCUGGGGCUAAACCGCCGGACUGCCAUGGAAACUGUCCGGCUGGAGUGCAGUAGAGGUAAGUGGAAUGCGUGGUGUAGCGGUGAAAUGCGUAGAUAUCAGGAGGAACACCAGUGGCGAAGGCGGCUUACUGGACUGUAACUGACGUUGAGGCUCGAAAGCGUGGGGAGCAAACAGGAUUAGAUACCCCAGUAGUC